GAGUUGGCAGCUCAGAACUUCCCACUAGAAACACUCCAAAUAAGGUUUUGGAGAAUUUAGUGUUUCUAGUGGGAAGUUCUGAGCUGCCAACUC
rnacentral:miRNA from 1 species